rnacentral:lncRNA from 13 species
AUCGCGACAUCGCUGCAGCUUCCCCGGGGCUGCUCGUGCAAAAAAAAAGGUGAAAAAGAAAAAAAGGAGAAAAAAAACAAAGCCUAAAAAGGACCCAGGGCCAUGUGUGGGGGUGCGGGGCUGUCCCAGGGGCGGGAGGUGAGGGACACUUGGGGACGCGUCCCCCUCUCGCCCUGCCCGGGGGGCUCCUGCAGGAGCCGGAUGGUUCCAGGGCUUGGGGCCCGUCCUCAAGUGGCUGCCCCAGGUCAUCGGGUUCUGCUAUUUGCUCCUUUUGUGCCUCCUUUCAUCACCAGACCACGUUAUUUCCCACUGAGACGCAAGAAGUGA